CGGCGAGUGAGCGGGAGAGCUCAAAUUUGUAAUCUGGCGGUCUACGGCCGUCCGAGUUGUAAUCUGGAGAAGCGUUUUCGGCGCCGGUCCGCGUACAAGUCCCCUGGAACGGGGCGUCGCAGAGGGUGAGAAUCCCGUCUUUGACGCGGUCCACCGGUGCCAUGUGAUGCGCUCUCGAAGAGUCGAGUUGUUUGGGAAUGCAGCUCAAACGGGUGGUAAAUUCCAUCUAAAGCUAAAUACUGGCGAAAGACCGAUAGCGAACAAGUACCGUGAGGGAAAGAUGAAAAGCACUUUGGAAAGAGAGUCAAACAGUACGUGAAAUUGUUGAAAGGGAAACGCUUGAAGUCAGUCGCGUCUCUCGGGACUCAGCCGAGACUUACCUCUCGGUGCAUUUCCCGAGUCUGGACGGGCCAGCAUCGGUUUCGACCGUCGUAAAAAGGCGUGAGGAAUGUGGCACCCUCGGGUGUGUUAUAGCCUCUCGUCGUAUGCGACGGACGGGACCGAGGAACGCAGCGCGCCCCUCGCGGGGCCGGGGUUCGCCCACGUAACGCGCUUAGGAUGCUGGCGUAAUGGCUUUAAGCGACCCGUCUUGAAACACGGACCAAGGAGUCUAACAUGCUCGCGAGUGUUCAGGUGGAAAACCCGUGCGCGUAAUGAAAGUGAAAGGUUGGGACCCCUCGUUUGGGGGCACCGACGCCCGGACUCGAGCUUCUGCAAAGGUUCCGAGGCAGAGCGCGUAUGUUGGGACCCGAAAGAUGGUGAACUAUGCCUGAGUAGGGCGAAGCCAGAGGAAACUCUGGUGGAGGCUCGUAGCGAUUCUGACGUGCAAAUCGAUCGUCGAACUUGGGUAUAGGGCGAAAG
rnacentral:rRNA from 1 species